GAGUUCGCGGGAGAGUAAGUUAUUGCCAGGGUUUUUAUUUUAUACUUUAAACAUUGAUUUUAUUUUUUAUGUUUUUAGAUGUUCAUGUUUUUGAAUGUUUUAUUCGAAUAAUAUAAAAAAUAAAAUAUAUAUUGACAUGGAUUAAACAAAGAUAUAUAUUAUUCUAUGUUGUAUAAACAAAUUGGCAAAAUAGAGAUGGAAGAUAAAAAUAUGGUCAAAGUAAUAAGAGUCUAUGGUGAAUGCC
rnacentral:misc_RNA from 2 species